rnacentral:lncRNA from 10 species
UAUGUAUAUAUAUGUGUGUGUGUGUGUAUAUAUAUAUAUAUAUAUUUUUUUUUAAAUCAGGCAGCAGCUCCCAGUUUUCUCACCUAGGGGUAGCUGGUGGCCAAGAGGAAAGAGGAGUUGUCCAAAGUAAUUGAGGACUGGAAGAGUUAAACCUUUGGCCUAAGAUUGGGGCAGAGCUGGAACCAACCAAGAACUUCUGAUGCUAGUGCUUGUGAAAUCCUGACAAGAUAAGAAAGCAACAAGGAGGAAGGAAUUCUAGGUGGGGGAGAACAAUUGCUCUGGGAGACAGCUCAUCAAAAAC